GAUGAACGCUAGCGGCAGGCUUAACACAUGCAAGUCGAGGGGUAGAGGAAGCUUGCUUCCUUGAGACCGGCGCACGGGUGCGUAACGCGUAUACAAUCUACCUUUUACAGAGGGAUAGCCCAGAGAAAUUUGGAUUAAUACCUCAUAGUAUUUUCGGAUCGCAUGAUUUGAUUAUUAAAGUUCCAACGGUAAAGAUGAGUAUGCGUCCAUUAGCUAGAUGGUAAGGUAACGGCUUACCAUGGCUACGAUGGGUAGGGGUCCUGAGAGGGAGAUCCCCCACACUGGUACUGAGACACGGACCAGACUCCUACGGGAGGCAGCAGUGAGGAUAUUGGACAAUGGGCGCAAGCCUGAUCCAGCCAUGCCGCGUGCA
rnacentral:rRNA from 1 species